rnacentral:rRNA from 1 species
AACCAGCACCUCAAGUGGUCAGGAUGAUUAUUGGGCCUAAAGCAUCCGUAGCCUGUUCUGUAAGUUUUCGGUUAAAUCUAUUCGCUCAACGUAUAGGCUGCCGAAAAUACUGCAGAACUAGGGAGUGGGAGAGGUAGACGGUACUCGGUAGGAAGGGGUAAAAUCCUUUGAUCUAUUGAUGACCACCUGUGGCGAAGGCGGUCUACCAGAACACGUUCGACGGUGAGGGAUGAAAGCUGGGGGAGCAAACCGGAUUAGAUACCCGGGUAGUCCCAGCUGUAAACGAUGCAAACUCGAUGAUGCGUUGGCUUAUUGCUAGCGCAGUGUCGCAGGGAAGCCGUUAAGUUUGCCGCCUGGGAAGUACGUACGCAAGUAUGAAACUUAA